rnacentral:rRNA from 1 species
UGGCUCAGGACGAACGCUGGCGGCGUGCUUAACACAUGCAAGUCGAACGGUGAAGGGAAGCUUGCUUCCGGAUCAGUGGCGAACGGGUGAGUAACACGUGGGCAAUCUGCCCCAGACUUUGGGAUAACUACUCGAAAGAGUAGCUAAUACCGAAUAUUCAGCCUUGCAGGCAUCUGCGAGGCUGGAAAGUUUCUCGGUCUGGGAUGAGCCCGCGGCCUAUCAGCUAGUUGGUGAGGUAAUGGCUCACCAAGGCGACGACGGGUAGCCGGCCUGAGAGGGCGACCGGCCACACUGGGACUGAGACACGGCCCAGACUCCUACGGGAGGCAGCAGUGGGGAAUAUUGCGCAAUGGGCGAAAGCCUGACGCAGCAACGCCGCGUGCGGGAUGAAGGCCUUCGGGUUGUAAACCGCUUUCAGCAGGGAAGAAGCGAAAGUGACGGUACCUGCAGAAGAAGCACCGGCUAACUACGUG